CAGCCGCCGCGGUAAUACGUAGGGUGCGAGCGUUAAUCGGGAUUACUGGGCGUAAAGCGUGCGCAGGCGGUUGUGUAAGACAGGUGUGAAAUCCCCGGGCUUAACCUGGGAACUGCGCUUGUGACUGCACAGCUAGAGUAUGGCAGAGGGGGGUGGAAUUCCACGUGUAGCAGUGAAAUGCGUAGAGAUGUGGAGGAACACCGAUGGCGAAGGCAGCCCCCUGGGCCAAUACUGACGCUCAUGCACGAAAGCGUGGGGAGCAAACAGGAUUAGAUACCCGCGUAGUCCCUGUCUCUUAUAC
rnacentral:rRNA from 1 species